GUUGGAUUGGAUUUAUCAGCAGCAGUAGUGACUCAUCCAGUGACUCGGAUAACUCGGCUAGUGACUCAGAAGACGAGUCAAAAACAAACAAUGAUAAAUCAGGACAGGGUCUGUUUAGAUCCCAGCCUCUCUAUCAGUCAGUCCCUCCAGCCUCCAACAUCCUGGGUAAAGAUCUGGAACUGAGUGAUGAUGAUAGUGAGAGUGAUUGACAGCCAGGGAAUUCUGGGAAGGUUUGGAAAAGUGGAAUUCUGGGAAUAUUUGGAGAAGUUGUUGACAUUGUUGUCAUAGAGGACUCCCAGUACUGCUUUACAUGGACAUUGUUCUUCUGUUGUUGCUUUAUACACAAUGUAAGGGUAGUGUGUUAUUACUGAGUGAUAGAAAGUUUGGAAGAAUGGUGCUGUAAACCAACAUUUUUUGGCCUGCGAGAAUUUUUCAUGAGGUUCACGAGAGUCUCUUUAUCAUGAAUAUUUCUUGCCGUAAACCAGUCCUUAAGGUCUCUUUCUUUUAACAACACAUCCAAAAAGGCUUUGAUUGCAAAAAAUUAUUGUUGCGAACUAGUUUAACCUCGGUUAAUCGCGAAAAAAGUCCUCACGAAUAAAAGUUGGUUUUCAGUACUGUAAAAGUGGUUAUUUACACUGAUUGUUAAGUACGCGUUUGUGACUGUCAAACAUUACAAGUGGGUAUAAUAUAUGCGGUCGCACGAGUUACCGAUAAAAAUUUACGCGGUCAUCCAUAUCGUAACUAACAUCAGGUCGUUACCCUUUAAAAGUGACAAGAAAAAAAUUGAAACAAUUACAAAGAAAUUAAAGAAAUCAAUGACAGUUAGAUAAUAAUUUAAACUGUUGGAUUGGUAAUUGUAACGUCGAUGUGUACAUGCAGUCACAAGCGGUGAAGUGUGAACAACUGGUGUACGCUUUAUUGUAAUUAUUAACGCAAGCUCAAACUUCAAAGUGAAAUCUACUUACCUGUAUCUGCGUCUCGAGUUUUGACAAUUAAUUUAAUAGGUAUGAUCAUAGUGACUGUGAGUUUUUUUAAACAUUUUGGACCAAUCAUUUGAAAUUAAGAAAGCUAUAAACAAUGAAAAACAAAUAUACAAAGGAAAUAAAAUGAGUAUCGAUGUAUUGAAGCUUUAAUUGCGUGAGGUUGCUUUAAAAUAUUUAAUAUGAAGAUGCAUUUUUCAUUGCACCAGUAACUUAAUAAACAUUAAGGUUUUCAUCACAGUUUGUGACACAUUUAUUUAUUUUCAGGCGUUC